rnacentral:rRNA from 1 species
UACAGAGGUCCCAAGCGUUGUUCGGAUUCACUGGGCGUAAAGGGUGCGUAGGUGGUGAGGUAAGUUUGAUGUGAAAUCUCCGGGCUCAACCCGGAAAUGGCAUUGAAUACUAUCUUGCUAGAGGAGUGGAGGGGGGACUGGAAUACUUGGUGUAGCAGUGAAAUGCGUAGAUAUCAAGUGGAACACCAGUGGCGAAGGCGAGUCCCUGGACACUUCCUGACACUGAGGCACGAAAGCCAGGGGAGCAAACGGG